GACGAACCGUGCGAACGUUGUUCGGAAUCACUGGGCAUAAAGGGCGCGUAGGCGGCUUAUCAAGUCAGGGGUGAAAUCCGGCAGCUCAACUGUCGAAGUGCCUUUGAUACUGAUGAGCUAGAGGGAGAUAGGGGUAUGCGGAACUUCCGGUGGAGCGGUGAAAUGCGUUGAUAUCGGAAGGAACGCCGGUGGCGAAAGCGGCGUACUGGAUCUCUUCUGACGCUGAGGCGCGAAAACUAGGGGAGCAAACGGG
rnacentral:rRNA from 1 species